rnacentral:lncRNA from 1 species
AAAUGGGGGCUCACCAGCUGCCCGUGGACGGAGUGGGGAGGAGGCCCCCAGUCUCCAGGAGGCUCCAUGCCUCAGGCUCAGACCGGCAGCUCGGGAACCCAGCUAGCAGGAUGAACUCCAGCAGAGGAACUCAGCGCCAUUGCUGCGGCUGUGGGCCAGAAGAGAAAGAGAAAGAGAAAGAGAAUCCGCCUCGGUGUGACAAGCUGUGCCUCAGAACCCGAGCAGCAGGAGAGUGGGCAGCAGGGGGUGUCUGGCAGCAGAGAGGGGCUCAGGCCUGCUGGGUGGAGCGGCGCUGGGGGACACAGGUGGGCCCUGCGGGAGGCAGGAGCUGUCCAGGCAAAGCCGAGGGGAAGGGCCGGUAUGAAGGAGGCGCCCGAUGGGAGGGGCGAGUUCUCCCCCUGCACCAUUCCAGUCCACUCCGGGUUUCCUGUAGAAGGGGGAGCCCCCCAAAGUCCAUCUGUGUUUCCCCACCUCACUCACACACUCAGGGACCCUCGGCUGCUCCCCGGGGCGCUGACUGACAUUUUUGCCGAAUAAAGGGGCCCUGUGGGUUUCCUGUUCCCAUCUCAGCUUCUGCUGAACAGGGUAAACUUCCCUUCCGAAUAAAACCACCAGAAUGCGGUCUGGCCAAUUUCAGUCAUAGACCCACCAGGCCUGUGUCCCUGCGUGAGGGGGUGGGAAAAGCCCAGAGUGCCCCUACCCGUCCCCUGGGAGGGGUGGAAGGGCAGCUCUUGCUCCCCCUGCAGAGACGCUGCGCGGACUGGGAAGGCUGCCAGCCUCGCCCGGUCUCCCUGUGGACCCUGCCCUGACCCCACCCCAGCUUCCUGGCUCCCUGCACCCCACUGGGCUUCCCUGCCCCACAGAGCCUGGUGGUAGGGAGACCUCCGGAUGGAGACAGCCCACAGUCCCGGAGCCCCAAGGCAGGCACCAGUGAGUCCCUCGUGACGGCCUCGCUCCCUGCAUCACAUGGAACCUCGUGACCCACGUGACGACGCCAGUGCCCCCGUGGCCCCUUCCUGCUGCUGGACGUGAUGCAGUCAAUGGAAGCCCAGGUCUGUCACGCACCGCCUGUGCUUGCCCAGAGCAGGUCCCAGUCACCCCCUCUGGCACCGCCUGCUGCACACCAGGAACCCCCACCUCCAGCAAGCCCAUCUGCCAGACGCCUGGCCCAGGACCGCCCCCUGCCCCUCGACUGCCCCCUGCCCCUCCUGGUCCUGACUUCAGCCAGGUGACCCCCUCCAGGGUCCAGCCCUGGCCCCUGGGGGACUCAGUGGCAUCUGGUGGAAAGGACCUUGGGGAUUGCGCCCACCCUCACCUGCAGGAGAGUUGGCAGGGUGGCCAGCCACAGGAAUCUGUGGCAGGAGCCCGGGGACCUGCACCCCAACUAGAAAGUGUGCAGCCCUGCAGGCCGGCCCUGGAGAGGGAGCAGGCAGGGGUGAAGUUAGGCCGGCUGUGGUGUGCGACACCGUCCUGUGGGGCCAAGCGUCCCGAGCUCCAGAGGCAGGUGCACUCCUGGCCAGCAUCCAGGGUGGACGAGCCCAGACCCCAAUACUCUGAGGCAGGGUGGGGGACCAGGUGGCACCCAGUGGAGGAAAAGCCCCCAAGAGACACGCAGGAGCAUGGACUCCCACCCCACAGCUGGAGCCUGGGAGAGGAGCCCCAUCUGCUGUUUCCCUGGUGCACUCACAUCCUGGCCCUCAGCGCCCCCUGCCAGGAAUGUCCCCCACAUGCAGAGCCAUGUGGGUCUUGCAAGGAAGAAGAAGGGGGCCCCUUGCAUCCUCCACUCCCGGGGGCCCCAGGAGGGCAUGGGGGCUCCAGGGUGCAGGGACAGCACGUUCCCUCACCAACUCCCCAAGAACGCCCAACCUCCAAGAGCAGACACAGCGCCUACACCUGCCGGUACGGGGCUCCAACCCCACUCUCUCAGAUACGUCCUCCAGAGUCGUCUCAUCCACCCCACCCUGGGGAGGAGGGAAACUGAGGCAUGGCAAGAGACAAGACUAACACAGGCGUGGGCUCUCCCGGCACCAGCACCGCCAGGCCCUGUGCAGGACCCCAGGGUCAUCAGGAAGGAAAUGAGGCAGCCCAAGGAGGCGGGAGACGGGGCCCUACCCAGCACCCAGCCAUCUGCAUUGACACGGCUGCCCGCAGGAUAUCACUGCCCCCAUCCCGGGGCCCACCAUUACCAGCAGGGAGAGGGAGGCAGGAGGGAAGCUGGGGUCCACCGCUGGUGAGCGGGGAGGGGACGGGACACAGAACCGGCCGUGGCCCACCCCGAGACGGAGGCGCAGACACCAGGCCCGUUCUGUGCUCUGGAGGCUUUGGGCAGCUGUCAGGCUAGUGGACGGUGUGCAGAGCAGAUGGAGGCGUGAGGAGGCGGCUCCGGGGUCACCUAGGGUUCAGCAGGGACAGAGCUCAGGGGGAAGGCACCUCCCGUCCUGGUUCAAUACAUGGACCCCUGACCCUGGGAAAGGGACUGAGCCAGGGGAGGCCUCAGGUCACUGCACCAUGAAGUUGUGGGGAGCUGCGGGGGCCUCUGGGCUCCGAGCUGGGCAGGCACAGCGUGGGGACCACGUGCCGAGGGGAAGAAGCGUGCCAGGGUGGACGUCUCAGUGCACACGCAGGAACAUGCAACGGCUGAGCCAGCCCAGAGAGGCAGCGGAGCGUGUGCGGGGCGGCCGGCGGAGGAGCAGCAGGAUCCCAGGCGGGAGCGCACGGCCUUUUCGGAGGCAGGUUCCAGGACAAUACUAAGCGUUUACAUCAUUGCACUAUUUGAUCCAGGAGGUCCCACUGUGGCGUUUCAUCGAUAAACGCACAUGCGAGGUGGAGGGUGGCUGGUGUGGAAUGUGCCCGGCAGCCUUCAUAGCAAAGGAGAAUUCUAGAACCAACCGAAGUGCCCCUCUGAAGGGAGCUGGUCCCGUCCGUUCCAGCCGCCGUGGAGUAACACAGCCAGCAGUUUCCCUCCUGCCACGAAAGCUCGAGACUGAAACUCAGGAUGAACUGUUUUCAGCCCGGGUCACCCCAGCCCUGGGGUGGAGGCCCAUUGAGGAUGGCCGAGCAGGGGCGGGCAUCCAGGCAGGUCCAGCAGUCCUGGCGGGCUGAGGAGAAGGAGGUCAGUGCUCAGGGAGACAUCCGCAGAGGGACCUGGCAGGCAGAGCUCCAGAAGGGAGGGAACUGCACAGACAGAAAGCUCCAGAAGGCUGCCUGAGGGCCUCUGAGGCCUCCGGAGUCAGGCGCCAUGGAUGUGGAAGGUGGACUCUUCAGCAUGGAUGGGACCCUAGGGGGCUGUGGACCCCCGGCCCCUGGGACUCACAGGUGGGAGACAGGAGUUCCAACCGCCAGGGGGAGAGUCCUGGAGGAUCCUGGGCUGUUGGCAGCCACCCAGCAGGGCCCGUCCUGGGAGUGGGGCUGGACUCUUCCUGCAGGAAAGGCUGGGCUGGACCUGCUCUGAGAGGCUUCAGAACCAGCCACACGAAGACCAAAGUGAAGAGCAAGGAGCUGAACUCCACGCAGAACACAGCGCAGCGUCCUUUAAAGGAAGGCCAAAAACAACCCAACAAAAAUGCCAGGUGAUCAAAGCGGUCACAGCACAAUGUCCACAUCCAACGAGAAAUUGCUACUACGUCCAGACGCAGGGAAAGGUGGCCGUGGGAACGUGAGUCAGCAGCAACAGGCCCAGAAGGGCAGCCACGGUGGACUUGUCAGACGUGGACCCUGAAAUGACAAUCACAGCAUGAUUUCAGGCAGGAGCCUGAAAUGGUACAGCUUUGGACAUCGGUUUGGCAAAUUCUUUUAGAGAGAAACACACACCUUCCCUAGGACCCAGCAACUCCACUCCUAAUAACCAAGUGAAAUGGAAGGAGUUGUCCUCAGCAAAACGUGUGUGCGGAAGUUCACAGUCACUUUCUCGGUGAUAACCAAGAGCUGGAAACCACUGCAACACCCACCAGCAGGUGAACGGAUUAACACACUGGGCUAGGGCCACACAAUGAGAUGCUCCGUGGCAACACAAAAUGAACCGUGGACACACACUGCACGGCGGAUGAAUAUGCAGACAUCAGGCCACGUGAAGGGAGCCAGGCCCCGAGGCGCCACGCUUUGUGAUUCAGGGGUGGUCCCUCUGCGCCCAAGACCCGGCUGCCUCCUCCUCUUCCUGGCUGCAGGGAGUGCUUGUGUCUGAAGAACGCCAGGCUGGUGUCCCCAGAGGGCGGCUGGAGGGGCUCAGAAACCAUUUUCACCUUCUGUCUCCUCCAUGUCUGCACUGUUUGGGGAAAGAAAGCACGCAGCCAAAGAGCGCAAAGAGGCUCAGAGGAGGCCCGGGUGCCCUGGAGAGACGCUGCGUCCUGACGACACAGCAUCCCUGUCCCGCAGCGGAGAUUUCCCAGAUGAAGGAUUCCCCGGCGGGAGACAGGGCCCUGCACACAGGUCCUCUGCCACGCUGCUCACCAUGCCUGUGUGUUAUCUCCCCAUGAAAAGUCACCUAGGCCGAGCAUGGUGGCUCACGCCUGUAAUCCCAGCACUUUGGGAGGUGGAGGCGUGCGGAUCAUCUGAGAUCAGGAGUUUGAGACCAUCCUGAGUAACAUGGUGAAACCCCGUCUCUAGGAAGAAUACAAAAAUUAACUGGGC